AGGGCGAACGCUGGCGGCAGGCUUAACACAUGCAAGUCGAGCGGGCGUAGCAAUACGUCAGCGGCAGGCGGGUGAGUAACGCGUGGGAACGUACCUUUUGGUUCGGAACAACCCAGGGAAACUUGGGCUAAUACCGGAUAAGCCCUUACGGGGAAAGAUUUAUCGCCGAAAGAUCGGCCCGCGUCUGAUUAGCUAGUUGGUGGGGUAAUGGCCCACCAAGGCGACGAUCAGUAGCUGGUCUGAGAGGAUGAUCAGCCACAUUGGGACUGAGACACGGCCCAAACUCCUACGGGAGGCAGCAGUGGGGAAUAUUGGACAAUGGGCGCAAGCCUGAUCCAGCCAUGCCGCGUGAGUGAUGAAGGCCCUAGGGUUGUAAAGCUCUUUUGUGCGGGAAGAUAAUGACGGUACCGCAAGAAUAAGCCCGGCUAACUUCGUGCCAGCAGCCGC
rnacentral:rRNA from 1 species